CAAAGUAUAGCUUAAACCAAAGCACCUAGUUUACACCCAGGAGAUUCCACUCGCUUAAUGGAUACUUUGA